rnacentral:rRNA from 1 species
AUUGAACGCUGGCGGCAUGCCUUACACAUGCAAGUCGAACGGUAACAGGUCUUCGGAUGCUGACGGGUGGCGAACGGGUGAGUAAUACAUCGGAACGUGCCUAGUAGUGGGGGAUAACUACUCGAAAGAGUGGCUAAUACCGCAUGAGAUCUACGGAUGAAAGCAGGGGAUCGCAAGACCUUGUGCUACUAGAGCGGCCGAUGGCAGAUUAGGUAGUUGGUGGGAUAAAAGCUUACCAAGCCGACGAUCCGUAGCUGGUCUGAGAGGACGAUCAGCCACACUGGGACUGAGACACGGCCCAGACUCCUACGGGAGGCAGCAGUGGGGAAUUUUGGACAAUGGGCGCAAGCCUGAUCCAGCAAUGCCGCGUGCAGGAUGAAGGCCUUCGGGUUGUAAACUGCUUUUGUACGGAACGAAAAGCCCCGGGUUAAUACCCUGGGGUCAUGACGGUACCGUAAGAAUAAGCACCGGCUAACUACGUGCCAGCCGCCGCCGUAA